GACGAACGCUGGCGGCGUGCCUAAUACAUGCAAGUCGAACGCUUCUUUUUCCACCGGAGCUUGCUCCACCGGACAAAGAGGAGUGGCGAACGGGUGAGUAACACGUGGGUAGCCUGCCCAUCAGAAGGGGAUACCACUUGGAAACAGGUGCUAAUACCGUAUAACAAUCGAAACCGCAUGGUUUUGAUUUGAAAGGCGCUUUCGGGUGUCGCUGAUGGAGGGACACGCGGUGCAUUAGCUAGUUGGUGAGGUAACGGCACACCAAGGCCACGAUGCAUAGCCGACCUGAGAGGGUGAUCGGCAACAUUGGGACUGAGACACGGCCCAAACUCCUACGGGAGGCAGCAGUAGGGAAUCUUCGGCAAUGGACGAAAGUCUGACCGAGCAACGCCGCGUGAGUGAAGAAGGUUUUCGGAUCGUAAAACUCUGUUGUUAGAGAAGAACAAGGAUGAGAGUAACUGUUCAUCCCUUGACGGUAUCUAACCAGAAAGCCACGGCUAACUACGUGCCAGCCGCCGCUGUAA
rnacentral:rRNA from 1 species